UGUAAAAUUGGUUCGACUAUUUGUGAACUAAAUAAAUGGUUGAGUCAGUUUUGCACC
rnacentral:pre_miRNA from 1 species